UACAGAGGGUGCGAGCGUUAAUCGGAAUUACUGGGCGUAAAGCGUGCGUAGACGGUUUUGUAAGUCGGAUGUGAAAUCCCCGGGCUCAACCUGGGAAUUGCAUUCGAGACUGCAAGGCUUGGGUGCGGAAGAGGGAAGCGGAAUUUCCGGUGUAGCGGUGAAAUGCGUAGAUAUCGGAAGAACAUCGAGUGGCGAAAGCGGCUUCCUGGUCCAGCACCGACGUUCAGGCACGAAAGCGUGGGGAGCAAACAGGG
rnacentral:rRNA from 1 species